rnacentral:rRNA from 1 species
UACGUAGGGCGCGAGCGUUGUCCGGAAUUAUUGGGCGUAAAGAGCUCGUAGGCGGUUUGUCGCGUCUGCUGUGAAAUCCCGAGGCUCAACCUCGGGCCUGCAGUGGGUACGGGCAGACUGGAGUGCGGUAGGGGAGAAUGGAACUCCUGGUGUAGCGGUGGAAUGCGCAGAUAUCAGGAAGAACACCGAUGGCGAAGGCAGUUCUCUGGGCCGUAACUGACGCUGAGGAGCGAAAGCGUGGGGAGCGAACAGG